rnacentral:lncRNA from 1 species
AACCAAUGAGAAUCAAUGAGAUUCCUUUGUUAGUUCUUAGCUUGACACGUGUACUCAAUUUUACAGGAAACACGUCGGCUAACAGCUUAAAAGAGAAAUUUAAGUUGACAUUGUUGAUGGUGGGUUUUAGGCUCGGACCCAAACCUCCUGUCAAGGCCCAUCAUCUCCACGGCCUAGCACUCUUCAAAGAUAAACUGAGGCCCGUUUAAGGCCCGUUAGAUGCUCCAUCGAUUAGAAGGGCAAAAAAGAUAUUUCACACGCACAGGGUACCCUACCCCUGUACCCUAUAAAUAGAAAAAAAGAAUGAUUGGAAAGGGGGCCCGAAAUAACCGCUUUUACAGAGAAUAUCGUACAACCGUCAGAGCACUUUGCGGCUCGGCUCGUAUACUCAGUUUUUAGCUCGUCUAUUUUUGUAGUCGUCGGCUCGUUCUUUUAAUAAGAGAUUCUUCUUUCACCCUUAAUAUUCCGAAUACGUACUUGUGUGAUUUUGAGGAUCAACAGUUGGCGCGCCAGGUAGGGGAAAAGCUCGAAGAUUUCUCUAAAAACUACGAACCGACGAAACAGUAAAGAUGACGGACGCAUUCCACAACGCACUCGGCGCAAGUGCCUCCAGCUCGGGAGGAGAAGCAUGCACGCCCGCAGCCGCACCGCCUUCGCUACCCCCGACGCCGGAAGGACCAACCGCGGCAGCUACAGGACCGCACCCAGCUCCACUUCCUGACGCUCAGUUAACGCCCUCGAACGGACGUAACGCGGCGAACCCGCAUGUCAACGCCAGAGCCGGGAUUAACCAAAGGAGUCAGGGGCGCAGCGAACCAGACGACCUACUCCAAAACAUUCUCACACAUCUGAGCCAGCAAGAGGCAAGAACGAACGUGCGACUCGAGUCUUUGGCAGCAGCCCAGGCUUGCGCUUAGGACGAAAUCAACCGCCUAAACGCAAGUCAGGCACAGGGUGUCCGACCCGCGCAAAGAAACCAAGGAUCGGCUCAGCAAAUUCAACAUGUUGCUUCGUCAAGCGAAAGUGCCCAGGGCCAAGAGCUCGCCGAACUACGACGCAUUGUUCAAGACAUGAACGCAAAGGUUCACAAGGCCACAAGCGCCGCACCAGAACUUGACCGCAUCCUGGAAGAAACGCAGCAAACUCCCUUCACUCGGAGAAAAACCAGCGUCUCACUCCGAGGACGCCAGAAGAUAAAGCUCGAGUCCUACAGCGGGAAGGGUGAUCCAAAAGAAUUCUUGACGUCGUUUAGCAUUGCAAUCAACCGCGCCGAACUAACCGACGAGAACUUCGAAGCAGGACAAUGCCAGAUUUUCACCGAACAUCUAACCGGCGCCGCCCUCAACUGGUUUUCGAAACUUAAGCCGAACUCGAUCAGCAGCUAUCGCGAACUGUCCGUAACGUUCCUCAAGCAUUACUCGCCACUCAUACAGAACCAGACAUCGAACGCCGACCUCUGGUCCCUCACGCAAGGACCCACAGAGUCCCUUAGAAUAUUUAUCGAUCGCUUUAAAGACAUCAUUACCCGAAUCGUUGUUCCAGACAAAGCCGCGAUCGUAGCUCUGCGCAACGCGGUGUGGAAUGAUUCAAGAUUUAGGGACGACAUCACGCUGUACGUACCAAACACGCUCGAGGACGCGCUCCAUAGAGCAAUAAGGUACAUCGAGUUAGAAGAGGAGCAGCUCGUCCUCUCACGAAAGCACGGUAUAACCAAGACAUCAGCUCCAAAAGAAGCUCCUGCUGUAAAACCAGCAGAGCCAAGACAACAUCUAGACCGCAACAUAAGCCAAGGUAGAAAGCCGGCCACGUUUGCCAUAAAUGGUGAAGGCUCGGCGCCCAAACCUAGGAAUAAAUGGGUGAGAGACACCGACGACGUUGUAGCAGGGAUAGUGUAUUGCGAGUAUCAUAAAAGCAAGGCCCACGCAACGGAGGAUUGCCGCUACCUGCAAGGGCUCCUCAUGGCUAAGUACAAAAGCGGGGGCAUCGCAAUCGAAUGUGACCGAGCCCAAGGGGGGAAUAAAAACCAAAGACGGAACGAGGCCACUGCUCGGCAAUUCCUCCAAGAUCGAGCCGACGGAGCAGCUGGAGGCGACGAUCAAGCAAACGAUUCGGCCAAAAGACAGCGCCAAGGCAAAGCUGUCGCCGACGCUCCCGUCGUCGUCCGACAAAUCCAUAUGAUCAUGGGCGGCCUUCAAAAUUGCAACGAUUCGGUCCGUUCAAUCAAGCAGUAUCGAAAGAAAGCCGAAAUAAUGGAGACGUGGCCAGUAGUAACGCCGAGCCAACCUUCCGAGGAAAUCGAACCCAUUUCUUUCACAAAAGAAGACCUCGUCGGAGUCGACCUCCCUCAUAAUGACCCCCUGGUCGUUGAGCUCAUCGUCAGCGAUAGCCAAAUCACGCGCGUUAUGAUCGAUACGGGCAGCUCAGUCGAUCUAAUUUUGAAAGAUACUCUCACCGCGAUGAGUGUAGCCGACCGACGUAUAAAACCGCGCUCCCGACCUUUAGCCGGAUUCGACGGGGACUUCAUCAUGUCCUUAGGCACCAUCAAACUGCCCACAUUCGUUGGUGGUACGAUCGCCUGGGUGAAAUUCGUUGUCAUCGAUAAACCGGCGAUAUACAAUGUAAUCUUGGGGACGCCGUGGCUACAUCAAAUGCAGGCCGUCGCGUCUACCUACCACCAGUGCGUCAAGUUUCCUACUCAUCAGGGAAUCUUCACUCUCAAAGGAAAUCAGCAAGUAGCGCGGACGUGUUUCCUGAUCGAACACAAGAACCGCGCCGAAAAGAAAUUAUAGCAACCAAAGAAAGAGGAGCCCGCGCCCAGCUCCGCAGUAGUAAAGGCACCGAGCAAAUCCUACGAGGAAUCAGAGCUAAGUCGAACGGAGCUUGUGAAUAUCGACGCGUCGGAUCCACUGCGAUGCGUUAGCAUCGGAGCUGAAAUUAGUCCAGAAAUCAAAGCGGCCCUUGUGGCCCUCCUCAAAGAGAAUUCGUCAACCUUCGCUUGGAGCGUUGAGGACAUGCCGGGAAUCGACCCCUCUAUAACGUCCCACGAGCUAGGCGUGGACCCGACAUUCAAACCUGUUAAGCAGAAAAGACGCAAAGCAGUAAAUGACGAAGUCAAAAAGCUACUAGGCGCCGGCUCCAUCAUCGAAGUCCGAUAUCCAGAGUGGUUGACAAAUCCCGUCGUAGUAAAAAAGAAGAACGGUAAGUGGCGGGUGUGCGUCGACUUCACCAAUCUGAACAAGGCGUGUCCAAAAGAUAGCUACCCUCUGCCGCAUAUCGACCGGCUCGUCGAGGCCACAUCAGGGAACGAACUCCUAUCGUUCAUGGACGCUUUCUCUGGAUACAACCAAAUUCUCAUGCAUAAAGACGAUCAGGAAAAGACGUCCUUCAUCACCGAUCGCGGAACGUACUACUACAAGGUGAUGCCUUUCUGUCUGAAAAAUGCCGGAGCAACGUAUCAGCGCCUCGUCAACAAAAUGUUCGCCGAACAGCUCGGCCGAACUGUCGAAGUCUACAUCGACGACAUGCUCGUUAAGUCAUUGCAAGCUGACGACCACGUUCAGAACCUCCGACAAUGCUUUGAUGUGCUAAACAAAUACCAAAUGAAGUUGAAUCCGGCCAAAUGUACGUUUGCGGUAACUUCCGGUGAGUUCCUGGGUUACGUCGUCACCAAGAGAGGGAUAGAAGCCAACCCAAAGCAAAUUCGCGCUAUACUGGAGUUACCCUCUCCCAGAAACGCCAAGGAAGUACAACGGCUAACCGGCCGGAUCACGGCCCUCAACCGAUUCAUCUCAAAGUCUACGGACAAAUGUUUGCCGUUCUACAACCUCCUAAAGCGGAGAGACAAGUUUACCUGGGACGACGUAAGCGAGAAAGCAUUCGCCGAGCUUAAGACGUAUCUGACGACGCCACCGGUACUCGCAAAACCUGAGAACGGCGAAACUUUAUUCUUAUACAUAGCUGUAUCCAGUUGGGCCGUCAGCGGGGUAUUAGUACGAGACGACCGCGGCGAACAGAGACCAAUCUUCUACGUAAGUAAAUCGCUAAUCGAGGCCGAGGUCCGCUAUCCUACAAUGGAAAAAGCCGCGCUAGCAGUCGUUACGUCGGCGAGGAAUGAUAGCCGUGCUUACAAACCAACCUAUCAAAACCGCGUUACACAGUCCAAGCCUGUCUGGAAGAAUGACCAAGUGGGCCGUCGAAAUCAGUGAAUUCGACAUCGACUUCCGGGCUCGACCAGCCAUGAAAUCUCAAGUUCUCGCUGACUUCAUCAUCGAAUUACCAGCAGUGGACCCGGACGACACCACACUAAGCACCAAUCAGACGAAUGGUACUUGGACCUUCUAUUAAGACGGCUCGUCCUCUUCGCAUGGAUCGGGUGUCGGCAUCAGGCUUGUCUCCUCAACCGGCGAAAUGUUAGAGCAGUCCUUCCGGCUACGUUUCGCGGCAAUAAAUAACGUCGCCGAAUACGAAGCACUCAUCGCCGGACUCCGACUCGCAAUUGGAAUGAACGUCCGACGACUCCGUGCCAUGAUCGAUUCACAGCUCGUAGCAAGUCAAUAUAGCGGCGACUACGAAGCAAGAAAUGAUAGAAUGGACGCAUACCUCAAGGUCGUCCAGCGUCUGUCCAAACAAUUCACAGAGUUUGAGCUAACCAAGAUACCACGAGGAGAUAAUGCUCCCACAGACGCUCUAGCAGCACUAGCCUCAACGUCCGACCCAGACCUUCGCCGCGUCAUACCAGUCGAAAGCAUCGACCGCUCCAGCAUUGAAGGGAUCGAAUCCGUCAACCUUGUGUGCAGCCGCGCCGCACCAGAUCCGAUAAGCGACCCCGACGAUUGGCGCCUCGAAAUACGCGAUUUCCUCUCAGAUGGGAUGGUUCCGGUAGACAAAUGGGAAGCACGGCGUCUACGCGCCAAAUCGUCAAAAUACACUCUGUACCGCGAACGCUUACUUCGGUACAACGCCUCCGGGGCAGUCCUCAGCUGCCUCCAUAAGGCGGACGCGGCAGAAGUCAUGAAAGAGACACACGAGGGAGCAGGUGGAAACCAUUCAGGAGGACGGUCUCUCGCACUCAAAAUCAGAAAGCUCGGCUACUACUGGCCGACGAUGAUCUUGGAUUGUAAAAACUAUGUGCUCAAGUGCGAGCAAUGCCAACGGUACGCCCCCGUCAUCCACCAGCCGACCGAACUAAUGAAAGCCGGUGCCGCGCCAUAUCCUUUCAUGCGGUGGGCCAUGGACAUCGUCGGUCCACUUCCAGCUUCGCGGCAAAAACGCUUCAUCCUCGUCAUGACUGAUUACUUCACUAACUGGGUCGAAGCUGAAUCCUAUGCAACGAUCAAAGCCAAAGACGUACAGAACUUUGUUUGGAAAUACAUCAUCUAUCGGCACGGCCUACCGUACAAAAUAAUCAUGGACAACGGCUCGCAAUUUAUUUCGUUACAGUUCGAAGCUUUCUGCGCUAGCUGGAAAAUUCGUCUGAACAAGUCAACGCCGCGUUACCCCCAAGGCAACGGUCAGGCUGAAGUAACAAAGAAGACAAUACUAGCCGGACUCAAGAAACGGCUCGAAGCCAAGAAAGGAGUCUGGGCAGACGAGCUCGACGGUGUCCUGUGGUCUUAUCGAACGACCCCGCGUAGCUCUACCGAAUGUACGCCUUUCUCCUUGGCUUAUGGAGUGGAAGCAAUGGCCCCAGCCGAGGUAGGAUGUGCGAGCCUCCGUCGCUCCAUGAUGGUACAUGAUAGAAACCUCAACGACGAGAUGAUGAGACAUAGCCUCGACGAUCUAGAAGAAAACCGCAACGUCGCACUGUGCCGAAUCCAGAAUUAUCAGCUUGCCGCUGCGAAAUAUUACAACAAGAAAGUCCAUAAUAAGCAUUUUGUCGAAGGCAACCUUGUCCUCAGAAAAGUGUUCGAAAACACGGCCGAACUCAACGCUGGGAAGCUCGGCGCGAAUUGGGAAGGUCCCUAUCAGAUAUCGAAGAUCGUCCGACCCGGAGACUACGAGCUCCUCACAAUGGCGUCGAAGUUCCCCGCACAUGGAAUUCGAUGCACUUGAAGUGAUACUACCGAGUGUCUUGGACCCGACCCAAACACGAAUAUCGACCAAGUUAUUGAGGUCGUCCUCAAUAACCCGCGCGGAACGAUCUCGACAGUAUACGCACAAGAUAAUAAACGGAAUAGAUAUCCAAUAAAGAAAAGCCAGCAGAAGUGGCAAGAGUCUUACAAAGCCGACUACGCGGCAAAUAAAAUAAAAUUAUAACAAAAAAUAAAAUCAAGAAGCAGGCUCGUCCAGAGGAGGAUCCCCGACCUGGGUGUCACCAUCACCAAUAACUUGGUCGACGGCCUCGACAUCACCAGCAACUUCAUCGUCAAUACCUUCAACCGAAGGCGCAAACUCCUCAACGACGAGAGAUCCCUUGAAGACAUUUCCGACGUCAUUCCAGCCUUCCUCUAGCUCGGCAAUGUCGAACGCAUUGACCUCGUUCUUAAGCUCUUCCGCAUCAGCUUCAAGCCUCUCCAUCACGUCCUUGGAGUUCAAGACGACCUCCCCAGUUUCAGCCAGCGCCUUCAGCAGGUCAACGCUCCCAACCGCCUGAUUAUAAUCAAGGAACUUGGGAUACGCCGCGUCCCUAGUGGUGAAAUGCCUCUGAAUCCCGUCGAGACGUUGCUGAAAUUGGUCGGCAGCCUCCUUGAGAGCCUUGGUUACGUGAAUACGGGCGUAUUCGGUGCGCCGCUCCCGAAGCCUUGCAUCUUCGGCUUGUGAUUGCUCGGCCAAGUGCUUAAAGUCAACUCGGGACUUUGACAACUCCUCAAAACAACGCUCCAGUUCUGAAAGAGCAUUAUCCCGUUCUUCCUUCAGUUUGGCGACCUCCUCGCGAAGAAGCUUUACCUCGGAGUUAGCACUUUCCAGACCUCUCGACGCCUGGUCAGCUCUCUUCGUCUCAGCCGCCAAGGCUCUCUGGUGAUCCUUCGAGGCCGUGUUCUGUUCAGAAACAACGCGGAGACGGCCCUCGUACAUAUACGCCAUCCUGUCAAUCGCGGUAACGGCCUACAGAAGUAAGAGCUCGGUCAGAAAGCAAAGCACUUAACAACAGAGUAAAGCGAAAAAAUUCUAAAACAUUACCGCAACGGUCUUCUUCGCGGCGUCAGUGAACGCCGUUCUCUCCCACAUAUCUUGGAGCUCGAAGAAAGGAGACAGACCGACGUGAAUCUUGCGGAACAGCUCCGCACAGGAUGUGGAAUCAGUCGAGAUAUGAACGUCACGCCCGUUAUAAUCAUAUCGCCACCUAUAGUCAGGGGCCCAGGCCGUCCUUUGUUUCUUGGUCGGCUCCGAACGCACCGUCUCGGACUCAUCCGCAGCCCGCUUUCUGGUCGGCUCGGCCUGAGAGUUGUCAUACAGAACGGCCUCCCUACCACCUAAGGGCACGUCACGAGAAGUCUCGGCAACAAGUAGUUUAGCCGACCGCGCCUCAGCCACCUCCUUCUCCCUUCUCUCCCUCUCUACGUCGGAUCUUACGUCCGAACGAUCGGCACCGCCAACACCAUGACCGCGUCGAUCACGACGGUCACCUUCUUCUCUCCUGUCUUGACGACCUGAAGAUCGUCGCUCACUCUCCUUAGCCUCGUAUUCCGCUAAGGAGAGACGUCUCCCUAAGGCCAUAGCCUCAUCCUCUUCCCGGGUUAUCCUCUUUGACGGCGUCACCGACGACUUCUUCUUGUAUCUUGAUGAGUAAUCACCCACCGCGUCGACAUUCAUUUUCCCCAUAAUCUUUGAAGGAGCUGACAUGUAAAAGAAAGGGAAGAGAAGAAUAUAAGAAAAAUUGUACGCACUCAUCGAACGAAUAAUGAAAUAAAGGAAAAGAUCAAGGCCAACCUGGGGUCUUGUUAACCUUCCUUGCUUUCGAAGGACCUCCUCUUCGGCUCGUUCUCUUCGGUUUUGAGGAAGGGCGACGAACAUGAUCUUCUUCGUUGGGCCAGGUAUACGGGCACAAAGCUAUAAUCUUCUUAACGUCGUCGCGAAGCUUCUCAGGAUACGGGUCGAAGAUCUUGGGACAACGAACUGCAAGAAGAAAAGAAACGAGAAAAGCGAGUUAGAUAAACUAUCAGAUGACAAGGGAUCGACCUCGGAGGGAUAAGCAAACUACCGGGUGAAAUAGUCCACCCAUGGUAAUUCGUGACGACCACGUCCCCAGCGGAAUCGUUGUCGACCUUAACGAAGAAGUACCAACGAAGCCAAUCGUUGGUCUUACUCUUCGCGCCAACAACCAACUUUGGGGUCAGCGAAGACUGAGUAUACACCAAGCCCGGCUUAGAUUUCCCAAAAUUCUUCUUCGUCGUCAAUUCCUCGUACAGGGAACAACGAGGUUCGACGCCACAUUGCUCAGCCAAACGAAUCAGGCCGUAAGCAUUCCGAAUAGCAGCCGGAGAAAGAAUGAGAGAAAUGAGGAGGAAGCGAAGUAUUUAUAAGGAGGGACGAUUGAGGAAAAACGCGUCAUCAUUGCGUCUCGAAGAACGGCGUAAUCAUCACACCUUCGCCACCCGCAACACGCGAACGACCCGUUUUUCAAUGCCUCGGGAGCGGCAGUAGACAAAUCAGAAGAGAGCGUCCAUCACACGCGCCUCGAGAGUACGCGAAGGAAGUCGAAACGAGAACGGCGAAAUGAUUGCAACCCUAGCCGCGUCAUCACUACGCACUAGGGUUGGGGGGCUACUGUUGAUGGUGGGUUUUGGGCUCGGGCCCAAACCCCCUGUCAAGGCCCAUCAUCCCCACGGCCCAGCACUCUUCAAAGAUAAACUGAGGCCCGUUUAAGGCCCGUUAGAUGCUCCACCGACUAGAAGGGCAAAAAAGAUAUUUCACACGUACAGGGUACCCUACCCCUGUACCCUAUAAAUAGAAAAAAAGAAUGAUUGGAAAGGGGGCCCGAAAUAACCGCUUUUACAGAGAAUAUCGUACAACCGUCAGAGCACUUUGCGGCUCGGCUCGUAUACUCAGUUUUUAGCUCGUCUAUUUUUGUAGUCGUCGGCUCGUUCUUUUAAUAAGAGAUUCUUCUUUCACCCUUAAUAUUCCGAAUACGUACUUGUGUGAUUUUGAGGAUCAACAGACAUGCUGGGAAGAAAAAACUGAUCAUUUAAGAACUAGUAUGCCAUUCCAACAUGUAGCCUAGUGGUUUGUGUUAAAGUGAGAAUCUUUAUAAGUACAAAGUGACAUGUUUGGAGCAAAUUGAACCAAAAGGAGGAGUUUAAUUUGUAAGAAGGACAAAGCGACAAUCUUUAUAAGUACCUCAUCAGAGGCUGAAGUGGAUUAAUUUUUAAUAAUUACAACCAAUGACAUCACUUUGUUUAGUUAAAAUUCAAACGUUUGACAUGCUUGCAAGAAUAAAUAA